UAGGGAAUCUUCCACAAUGGACGCAAGUCUGAUGGAGCAACGCCGCGUGAGUGAAGAAGGGUUUCGGCUCGUAGAACUCUGUUGUUAAAGAAGAACAUAUCUGAGAGUAACUGUUCAGGUAUUGACGGUAUUUAACCAGAAAGCCACGGCUAACUACGUGCCAA
rnacentral:rRNA from 1 species